AUGGCAGCCCCAGCCCUGCUCCAGCCUCGCCCUGUGCCUCAGGUGGAGACGGUGGAAGACAGAUGCCGGAGCAUCCAUCCCGACCCUGGCACUCGAGUUUCCGCGUGGCGUGAUGCACCCGUGCUCCUGCAGACGGCGGCGGUCAGCCAGCUUGUUGGCCGCCCUGCGGUGAAUCAGCAGUGUCACUCCAUGGGCACCACUGUGCUCUGCCGUGACCCGACUCAGCUCACCUGGGACCGUGGGCUGGGCCGGGCCUGCUCUCUGCAUGCUGCUGGGCUUUCAGCAAGGCUGACGGGGUCUGGGGCCACGAAGCUCGGGGAUCAGACGGGGAGCGAGGUGGGGAGGGAGUCUGGGAGCUGUGGGUGGGCAUGCAUGGCACUUUUUCUCUGCCUCAGAGCCAGGAUGUGCCAGCCAGCUUGACUGGGUCACAUGGCUCACCAUACUGUCAGGGACCUGGCAGAGAUCUUAACCUGCAGGUGCUGGGUGCUCCCUGCCAACCUCCCAGCAUCAGACCCUCGGCCAUCGCCACUGUUGUGGGUGACAGAGGGAUGGGCAACUUGCAAGGUGGGAGCUGAGGUGGAGCUGGGCGCUGGUAUCUGUGCUUCUUAGAAAUGUGUGGCAUUUCUGGACACUGCUCCCGCAGACACUACUCGCUCCUGUGCCAGUCACAUGACCUAUGCCAGCAAGGUCCCUGCCCGUCCAGUCCACAGUGGCCUGGAGCCCAGAGCACGGAGGGGCAGAGGAGUGGCACUAAGUGUGUGCACUGCACACAGAGAGCUCAGGGACCUCUCGUCCUUCCUUUUGGGCCCUGAGCUGACACCAGGUCCAGGGGUGCAGUGACCAGAGGGGUCUGUGAGCUCCACUGCACAGCACCCAUUGGCUUUAGGAGAGGCGAAGGGGUAGGGUGAGGAGGAUGGAGGCAGAGGAUGGCACCAGAGAAGACACGAUAUCCAUCUUAGCCCUGAGGUUCCCCAGCCUCGCACCCAACUCCCUGUCUCUAAGGAGGUAAGUUCUCAGCCAGUGUGCCCAACGGGCUCCCCACCACCCCACAGGGCCCUGCUUUGUUAACCUCUCCAGGCGCUGUAAGUGCAGAGGUGAUUCUUGGGCCGCCGUUGUCAGACCUCAGCGUCCCUAGGGCCCCUCAAUGUGGAAGAAGGGCACGUGCUGGGCUCAGAAUUAGACUUGCAGCACGGCCUGGAUCAGGAGGUCACUUGUAGGAAGACCCUUCAAGUCUGGAGAAACUCAUCCUUGAGGCCACUUUUCCUGAGGGAGGGAGGAGCUGCCACAGGCCCCCAGGAACUCAGCUCCUGUGGAGGCGGCUCUGCUUGGGGCUCAGGACACGCAGGAUACACCAG
rnacentral:lncRNA from 1 species